AAAAUACCUAUCCAAAUGUUACAUAGAUUUCCAAAUAGUGUUAUCUCCUACUAAGCUAUCCAGUAGAUUUUUGGAAAUGUAACAAUAUUGGGAUUAACAAUUGUAAUUGAUGAAUCUAUUAAUCAAAUACAAUGAUUAUUCUGUUAUAGAUGUAGUCUGUGCAAUGUUAUAUAGACUGAUUUCUCCUCUAUAUGACUUGUGUGUUUUAUACGUACUGCUAAACUAAAUUUGAUGGAAUACAUAUAUCUAAUAAAUGUCUUGUUUUGAUCUCCAUGAGAUGAACCGCUUAUCUUACCGUUCCUCACUUUAGUUUGUAUACAAGUAACAUUAAAGAAGUUAUACUUCUCUUUUACAUCUUGUAAGUCUUUUUUGGGGGGGUUAACGGGGAUAUUAUAUUACUUAGUUAAAGGGAAAUAACAUACUGCUUUCCUGGGCCAAAAUAGUAGUCUUUCUGGUAAUAGCAGCACUAAUUUUGUCCCUCUCCCUAGGCAAAAGGAUGGAGGGGAAACUAAAAACAUAUUUGGAGAUGAGGGAGCUCUUUUCCGUUAAGAGGUGCCUGGUCUCCUCCAGCUUCAUUUGGGACAUCAUUGACCUGCAGUCAUUAACAAUGGAAAAAGGAUGAGCAUUUCAACUGUAUCAGUACAAUCCGUUUCAACCUGUAAUGGGUAUAGACCAUGUUCUUUAAGCCCGUGUAGAUAGCCCAGAGUUCGGCCUGGAGAUGGUAGUGUAAGCUAAACUUCCAUAAUAGCAUGUUACCCAAUCACCCUUUGCAAUUUCAGACGACUCCACCAAACCCUCAUACUAUUUGCACUGCCAUCCGUGUUGAGUCUAAAACUACUUUUCCUGGGACGCUGUCAACAUGUAUAUAUGAAUUAUAACGUUAGUAGAGGUCAACAUGUUAUACUCAAUGGUUCUGGAAACAACAGUGGCCACAGAAAACUGGUUAUCGAGAUUAUUAUGAUGAUUGUUGAUUUGUUUCUAUUAUUCCAAAACACUUUAGCAAUGUAGCAAUACAGGAAUACAUGAACAACGGUCUCUGAGAAAUUGGAUCUUCUUCUUCUUCUCAGUGUCUCCCCAUAUAAAAUUGCGCGGAAUCCUAUCAAUGCUCUUAAAGUGCUCUGUGGAAGCUUAACACAUUGCAUUAUAUGGUUUGGAAUGCUAUUUACGAAGGCUUUUGCCAAAGUGGUAUGACCGUCUAAAUUUAAGAACUUGGUUUUCCAAUUUGAAAGCCUUUUGAAGAUCUUUAGCUCUGGGCAUAUGGUGUAUUAUAGGAAAACCACAGGUACUUGCCGAAGGUAUUAGAGAUGGGAAUAUUGAUGUAAUUAGCGAUUUUAUAUUUUUUUAUCGCUUGGACAGUUUUUUGAAAAAUAUUUUUGACUUAGCAAGAUUAAUGUUCUGUCAAGAAUGAAUGCAAUUGGUGCAUGAUGUCAAAAGAUAGAUCUCGAAUUUUGUACGUAAGAUUCUGCCAACAGGGUAAGAUCAUCUGCAAAAGAUAAAUGGGAUAGUUUGGGAUCGGCUCUAAUGUUCAAUUUUAGGAAUAAAAAUGACGAGAAUGAAGUGCUAAAGAUUUUCUGUGUAUUGUAUUACAUCAAUAUAUACAAGAGAAAUAAAGAAAAGAAAGAUUCUUAUUUGUACACUUGUCUUUCUUUUACUAGCUAUUGUAUAACAAACUCUAACUACUAAAUUCUAUCCUUAGCUAUAAUAAUUACACGUACGUAAGAAUGUUCUGGAAGAUACAAAAUAAGAUGCUUGCCAUCUGUGUUAUUUAUGCUGAAAAUAGACGACCAAGAUUAAAUUCAUCAAGCUUUAGAUGGACGGUGGUGAUGCAAAUAAUUUUAUUCCUUCAAACAGUGUAGAGAUCGAACUCUCUCAUUCGACUGUCUCUUCUUUCUCAAUGAAUGCUCGAUGCUUCUGUAAAUCAUCACGACUUCCUAAAUCAUUUGACCAACACCCCCCCUCCCUCAAGUUGGAGGGCGGUGAAAGUACCCCCAACUUGCCUAGAAUUGAAUAGUGAUUAGGGCCAGAAAGGGGUUUCGUAAAGAUGUCGGCGAUCUGAGAAAUAGAUGGUACGGAUGACAAAGAAAUGAGGCCGGCGAGGUACUGUUGUCUCACAAAGUGACAAUCAAGGUCAACAUGUUUGGUACGCUCAUGGAAGAUCGGGUUUUUGGCGAUGUGUAUCUCCGCCUGACUGUCGGAGUGAAGCGGUACGGGAAGAACCGGCAAAACAGAGAGAACUUGAAGAAGGCGCACAAGCCAUGUGAUCUCUGCCACCACACGGCGCAUUGAACGAUACUCCGCCUCCGCUAAAGACAGGGAAACCAAAGAUUGUUUCUUUGAUUUUCAAGAAAUCGGAGAGCCACCAAGAGUAAUGAAAUAACCAUUGAUAGAGCAUCGAGAUUCAGGGCAUCUAUCCCAAUCAGAGUCAAAGAAAGCAAUUAAAUCCAUAUAGGGAUUGGAGCUCAUGAAUAAGCCCAAGCUGGGGCCUAUGAGAAGAUACCCCAAACAAUAUAUUGCAGCUUUGAAGUGAGGAACACGAGGACACUGCAUGUAUUAGCUGAGAUGCUGCAUGUAUCAGCUGAGAUGCUGCACGACAAAGGAGAGAUGAGGGCGAGUGUGAGUGAGAUAGUUCAGUUUUCCUAGAAGCCCUCUGUAAAGCGAAGGAUCUGAAAGCAAAUCACCACUAUCCAGUCGGAAUUGUACACAAGGAUCAAGCGGAGAUGAGGCAGACUUGGAAUUCAUGCAUCCAAAUUCAGAUAGCAAAUCUAAGGUAAACUUUCUUUGACUUAAAAUUAUACCUUUUGGCUCACUAAUUAUUUCCAUGCCAAGAAAGUAAUGAGCUUUACCUAGGUCCUUGACUUUGAACUCAGAAUCAAGAAAAAAUUUGAGUGAGGCAAUUUCAGAAGGAUCAUCUCCUGUUAGGAGUAUGUCGUCGACAUAGAUUGCAAUGAUAGAAGUUCUGCCCUCUAAGUGUUUAAAGAAAACAGAGUAGUCAUUGAGUGAGUGAGAGUAACCUUUGAAGUUUAAGGCAGCUGUGAUUCUGGAAUACCAUUGCCUAGACGCUUGUCUCAAUCCGUAUAAAGACUUUUUGAGUCGGCAAACAUGAUGAGGUGUAGGAGGUGAGAUUCCAGCUGGGAAUUUCAUGUAAACCUCUUCUUGUGGGUCUCCAUGCAGAAAUGCGUUGUUCAUCUAGUUGAAAAAUUUCCCAGUUCUUCUUAACUACAAUAGCAAGCAAGCAUCUGAUAGUUAUCAUCUUAACAACAGGAGAAUAAGUCUCAGUAAAAUCUAUUCCUUCUCUUUGUAUAUCCUCUCUGAUAACUAGUCGUGCUUUAAAUCUUUCAAGUGAAACAUCAUAUUUGUGUUUGACUUUGUAGACCCAUUUACAAAGUAGGGCUUUCUUGCCUUUGGGUAGUUCCACUACCUCCCAAGUCCUGUUUGCUUCUAAUGCUUGUAGCUCUUUAGACAUAGCUUCUUGCCAACCGGGAUGUAGAGAUGCUUGGGAGUAGGAGGUUGGUUCAGAAAUAUAGGAGACAAUAUUUAUAGUGACUGAUUGAAAUAAGAUAAAGCUGAAAAUGGUAGAAUACUAGGGGAAACAGAGGAAGUGAAACAACUAGAAGAAACACCUGUUAAAAAUACUGAAUUACAGAUAUAGUCAUUUAAGUGGCUAGGUAGAUGAUGUUCUCUUAGAGAUCUUCUAAGUGCAUGUUGAGUGUCAGGAGAGGGAGAACUGGGAGAAAUAGAAGAAGCUGGAGAAGCAAUCUGUGGUGAGGAGGAGUUCUGAUGAGUAGGAACGAUAGGAGUAUGAAUUGAGGAAGUGGAUACUCUCCUAGAUUGAAUUGGGGUGAAAGGAGAAGCAGGCUGAAUAGAGGGAGAAGAGUGGUCAGUUCUGGACUGCAAUGGGUUGGAAAGGACCUGUCCAUGAUUAGGUUGAGGAAUAGGAGAAGGAAAUAAAU
rnacentral:lncRNA from 1 species